rnacentral:rRNA from 1 species
CAAUAGCGUAUAUUAAAGUUGUUGCAGUUAAAAGCUCGUAGUUGGAUUUCUGGGAGGGUGCCAAUGUCCGCCAACGUGCGUGUGCAGCGGCGCCCUUCCAUCCUUCUGUUAACGCCUCUUGGCAUUCAUUUGCUGGUAGCGGGCUCAGAUAUUUUACCUUGAGAAAAUUAGAGUGUUUCAAGCAGGCAUACGCCUUGAAUACAUUAGCAUGGAAUAAUAAGAUAGGACCUCGGUUCUAUUUUGUUGGUUUCUAGAGCUGAGGUAAUGAUUAAUAGGGAUAGUUGGGGGCGAUUCGUAUUUAACUUGUCAGAGGUGAAAUUACUUGGUAUUGUUUAAAGAACGGACUACUGCGAAAGACAUUUGUCCAAGGAAUGUUUUCUAUUGAUCAAGAACGAAAGUUAAGGGG